GGCCUCAUUUGGAUCAUACUUGUGGAUGAUCGAAUGCUUCUUUUGCGUCGAGUAGUCCUGUACGAUAAAUAAAUCUUUCGUCAGAAAAGAUUUUAGAAUAUAAUGAAUGAGAUACUAAAAGAAAUCAAGACAACCUUAAUGGACUGCUCGAGCAAUUGUUCGAUCAGAGGUAACGUCACGAGAGGUACAUUCGAUCGUGAUCUCCUGUCGGAUGAGACUAGAGUAAAAUCACUGAAAAAAAUAGAAAAAAUAUAUAAUCAAAAUAGAGUAUCAAACCAAUGUUCGUCGCAAUCGAUAAUAUUUCUUUUUCCAUCGUCGUCGUAUUCCUCCUACAACCGUGAUAAUAGAAAUUACUAGUGCAAUCAUCUGUAAAUGAUUAUAAACAAAACACCAUCCAAAGAUAAAAACAUACAUACGAUGAAUCUAUAAAUUGUUCUUAUUUUUUAUUUACUAAAUCUAACACUUUUUCUUAAUUUAUUCCGAAAACACAUAGAUUGUUACUCCGAAUCUUCAAAGAAGAUAUAAUAGUUUAACGAGAGACCGAUAGAGGUGAAUAGAGAUAACUUGAAAGUACAAAAGACUACAUCGAGAUUACCAUGCAGAGAUUAUUGUGGAUCGAAACAUGUUGGUUCAGUUGACCUUGCAAUCUGAUCUUCUCCAGUUGAGCCACCCCAAGUCCUCUUUGGGGUCGCUUUGCCUUCUCCGAGUUGCUCCUUCUACCCCUCUUGGAGGAGCCACACCUUCCACUUCCCAAUCCCAAACUUAAGGACUUGCUCUCCAUCCCCUCCCCCCCCCCCCCCCAACUCUUCAAACCUAAACCACAGCACGCCUCUAUCGACAAGAAGAGAAGACAGGAGGAGGAAGAAGAAUAGCAAAGAGUCCAAGAGUGAAAAAGAUGCG
rnacentral:lncRNA from 1 species